AGUGAACGCUGGCGGUAGGCCUAACACAUGCAAGUCGAACGGCAGCACAGUAAGAGCUUGCUCUUACGGGUGGCGAGUGGCGGACGGGUGAGGAAUACAUCGCAAUCUACUUUUUCGUGGGGGAUAACGGAGGGAAACUUACGCUAAUACAGCAUACUACCUACGGGUGAAAGCAGGGGAUCUUCGGACCUUGCGCGUUUGAAUGAGACGAUGUCGGAUUAGCUAGUUGGCGGGGUAAAGGCCCACCAAGGCGACGAUCCGUAGCUGGUCUGAGAGGAUGAUCGGCCACACUGGAACUGAGACACGGUCCAGACUCCUACGGGAGGCAGCAGUGGGGAAUAUUGGACAAUGGGCGCAAGCCUGAUGCAGCCAUGCCGCGUGGGUGAAGAAGGCCUUCGGGUUGUAAAGCCCUUUUGUUGGGAAAGAAAAGCAGCAGGUGUAUCCGCCGCUGUUCUGACGGUACCCAAAGAAUAAGCACCGGCUAACUUCGUG
rnacentral:rRNA from 1 species